CCCACCCUGGCCCUGCGCUCAUUCCAUCCCUGGCCCACCAAACAGGGAUUUGGCACCGACUGUUUGCCAGGCUCUGAGGCUCUAGUGGUGAACAUGCAGCAAGGUAAAGAGAGGGAGGAUGGCAGAAGAAACAGCAUGUGCAAAGGCCCUGGAGCUGGCAGGAAAAUGACACAUUCAAGAACAGGACAGUGCUUGGCACAGAAGAGCAGAUCAAUGAGGAGAGAAGAGGAAGGGAAAGAAAGAAAUGAAUGAAGCACCAGCUCCAUGCCUGGUUCACAGGG